rnacentral:rRNA from 1 species
AAAUUGAAGAGUUUGAUCAUGGCUCAGAUUGAACGCUGGCGGCAGGCCUAACACAUGCAAGUCGAACGGUAGCACAGAGAGCUUGCUCUCGGGUGACGAGUGGCGGACGGGUGAGUAAUGUCUGGGAAACUGCCUGAUGGAGGGGGAUAACUACUGGAAACGGUGGCUAAUACCGCAUAACGUCGCAAGACCAAAGAGGGGGACCUUCGGGCCUCUUGCCAUCAGAUGUGCCCAGAUGGGAUUAGCUUGUUGGUGAGGUAACGGCUCACCAAGGCGACGAUCCCUAGCUGGUCUGAGAGGAUGACCAGCCACACUGGAACUGAGACACGGUCCAGACUCCUACGGGAGGCAGCAGUGGGGAAUAUUGCACAAUGGGCGCAAGCCUGAUGCAGCCAUGCCGCGUGUAUGAAGAAGGCCUUCGGGUUGUAAAGUACUUUCAGCGGGGAGGAAGGUGUUGUGGUUAAUAACCACAGCAAUUGACGUUACCCGCAGAAGAAGCACCGGCUAACUCCGUGCCAGCAGCCGCGGUAAUACGGAGGGUGCAAGCGUUAAUCGGAAUUACUGGGCGUAAAGCGCACGCAGGCGGUCUGUCAAGUCGGAUGUGAAAUCCCCGGGCUCAACCUGGGAACUGCAUUCGAAACUGGCAGGCUUGAGUCUUGUAGAGGGGGGUAGAAUUCCAGGUGUAGCGGUGAAAUGCGUAGAGAUCUGGAGGAAUACCGGUGGCGAAGGCGGCCCCCUGGACAAAGACUGACGCUCAGGUGCGAAAGCGUGGGGAGCAAACAGGAUUAGAUACCCUGGUAGUCCACGCCGUAAACGAUGUCUACUUGGAGGUUGUGCCCUUGAGGCGUGGCUUCCGGAGCUAACGCGUUAAGUAGACCGCCUGGGGAGUACGGCCGCAAGGUUAAAACUCAAAUGAAUUGACGGGGGCCCGCACAAGCGGUGGAGCAUGUGGUUUAAUUCGAUGCAACGCGAAGAACCUUACCUGGUCUUGACAUCCACAGAACUUUCCAGAGAUGGAUUGGUGCCUUCGGGAACUGUGAGACAGGUGCUGCAUGGCUGUCGUCAGCUCGUGUUGUGAAAUGUUGGGUUAAGUCCCGCAACGAGCGCAACCCUUAUCCUUUGUUGCCAGCGGUUAGGCCGGGAACUCAAAGGAGACUGCCAGUGAUAAACUGGAGGAAGGUGGGGAUGACGUCAAGUCAUCAUGGCCCUUACGACCAGGGCUACACACGUGCUACAAUGGCGCAUACAAAGAGAAGCGACCUCGCGAGAGCAAGCGGACCUCAUAAAGUGCGUCGUAGUCCGGAUUGGAGUCUGCAACUCGACUCCAUGAAGUCGGAAUCGCUAGUAAUCGUGGAUCAGAAUGCCACGGUGAAUACGUUCCCGGGCCUUGUACACACCGCCCGUCACACCAUGGGAGUGGGUUGCAAAAGAAGUAGGUAGCUUAACCUUCGGGAGGGCGCUUACCACUUUGUGAUUCAUGACUGGGGUGAAGUCGUAACAAGGUAACCGUAGGGGAACCUGCGGUUGGAUCACCUCCUUACCUUAAAGAAGC